rnacentral:rRNA from 1 species
CCCGCACAAGCAGUGGAACAUGUGGUUCAAUUCGACGCUACGCGAAGAACCUCACCAGGGUUUGACAUAUAGGUAGUAGGAACCUGAAAGGGAGACGACUCGUUAAGCCGAGUGCCUAUACAGGUGUUGCAUGGCUGUCGUCAGCUCGUGCCGUGAGGUGUUGGGUUAAGUCCCGCAACGAGCGCAACCAUCAUCCUUAGUUGCUACCGAGGGAUCCGAAAGGGUCCUGGCGAGCACUCUAAGGAGACUGCCCGUGAUAAACGGGAGGAAGGUGGAGAUGACGUCAAGUCCGUAUGGCCCUUAUACCCUGGGCUACACACGUGUUACAAUGGGAUGUACAGAGCGUUGCCAAACCGCGAGGUGGAGCUAAUCGCAAAAAGCAUCCCCCAGUUCAGAUUGGAGUCUGCAACCCGACUCCAUGAAGUUGGAAUUGCUAGUAACGGCGGAUCAGCUACGCCGCCGUGAAUACGUUCCCGGGCCUU